CCUCCGCCUCCUCCCAGCCGCCGUGGGCAGGCCUUUUGCACGGGCUGCGUGGCGGUGCCUGCGGGCUCUCGGGAGGUCCUUGCGUGGGCUCAUGGCGGCGUUAAAAGUUAACCUCGAAACUGCCCUUGUGGUGCUCACACUGGAACAGACCCCUGUUAGGCUGUGUGGAGGGUAGCGCUGAGGACGAGGGAUGCCUGGGGGCUGCUACCCUCGAGGGUCCUUAAGGAAUCAGACGCGGUUAAAUCUGUGGGAGGGGCACGGAAUGGUAGAGCCCUGCCGGUUCUCAUUCACGGACGAAAAUGAUGUUUCUUUGUCUGAUGCAUCAUUCCUGAGAUAUCGUGUUCUGGCCUACAAGGUGCAUGAGCCAUAGCAUUGCCAGGAUGGUUUGGAAGAAAGGUUUUGUGGGAAGAGAAGGAGUUAUACUCUGAACCAGGAAGUGAAUAAUGCUCUGCUGAUCUCCACUGGAGUUAAGCAGUAGCCUGGGAAAGUUAAUACACUUUGCUUAAAGUACUGGAGGUGGCAAGUUUUCUCUUUGCAGUGGGGGUUUGUGGGUGUAAGAAGACUGGAAAGCCCACUCUGAUAUCUCAGUUAACAGGAAUGAGACUAAAUUUCUGUGUAGUAGCCAAGGUGAAACAUAUUAUUUUUUUAAAGUAGAUGUAUUGGCAUAAAUUUGGCCAUUGUUCAAAUGAGGAAGUUUCAAUGAGUGCUACCUUAUUUUUGCAUGGCUGUAGUCUUUACUAAAAAAUGAUCUUUUCUAGUAAUACAUAUUUAAUACAGUCCUGAUGCCUAAGAAUGGAUCUGCAGGAGGGGGCAGAAACAUUUGUUUUAAAUAAGCAAGAUAUUUACUCUUCAAAGCUGAGUCACUGAAUUUAUGGCACAAGAAGUUGCCUCAAAGACACAUAUGUUUUAAUUUGAUAUUUUGUGCUACACCACAAAUAAUUCUGAGUGCCAACACAACUGUUCACAAAGGUCAUGGAGCAUUUACAAAUGUGCACAAGGAUAUUCUAUAUCUCUACUGCUGUCUGGAAAGAGCACCUGGUAACUAUUGGAAGGAGAACAA